GCGCCUGUAGCUCAGGGGAUAGAGCAAUGCUUUCCUAAAGCAUGGGUCGCAGGUUCGAAUCCUGCCAGGCGUA
rnacentral:tRNA from 1 species